rnacentral:rRNA from 1 species
GCUGAAAGCAUCUAAGCGGGAAGCCAACCUCAAGAUUAGAUAUCCCUCCCGAUGGAGACAUCGGGACUAAAGACCCCUUGAAGACUACAAGGUUGAUAGGCCAGGUGUGUAAGUGCGGCAACGCAUUUAGCUUACUGGUACUAAUAGGUCGUGCGGCUUGGCCGCAAAACA